GAGGUGGCAUAACGGUUAGUGCAUUGGACUCUGGAUCGAGCAGUCGCGGGUUCGAGCGCUGGCCGGGGUCA